rnacentral:lncRNA from 1 species
UUUCGCUAAUAGACCGAUCCAAUUUCAUGAAAAAGUUGACAAAACGAGCUCUCAACUUUGCUACCUUUUUUCACGGGAAUUGGUGAGUGGGUUGGUCCUGUUGACUACGGUAUAGGAUCCAUAGUUAGAUGAGUUCAAAGGGAUGAGAUGAGCCCUAGGUAAGAGAAGCAGUCUAAAUACGGUGUUCCUGUUAAUAAGUUAGGAAAGGGAAUCGUAGUGCUUGUUUAGUAGGUCUCGCCCAAUAGUGUCUUUUGAACCUUCGACUUUAAGUAGUUAUGGGCCUAGACCGGUCAACGAUGGUUGAAGCAACUUCUGCAGGUCCCUAUUGCCUUAAACACACUGUCCAGACAGUAAACACAAUCCGAAGUCUUCCAAUUCCAUUCCAUUCUUCUCUUUCUUACCGUUACGUCAGGUUUCUUGCUCUAGUACUAAGGGAGGCAUCUAUUUAGCCAGGGAGGAAUCCUUUUCAGUCGGGGCCAAGCAACGACUGUCGACUUACUAUCCAUAGCAGCAGUCUCGGGGGUACUUGUUUGAGACCUGAGCUACCCGGCAACAGGCUUGGAAUGCUGUGUUUAAGGCUCGGAUGCACUGGCUUGGUUCUGAGCACCCAGUAAAAGGCUUAAGGCUUAUACCCACUAGCUCACCUCUUACUCGCUGCCCUGGUUUUUUCAUAGCAAAUGUAGAAAUAGUACUUUCCUUGAGUUCGUAUGGAAGUCAACUCUACUCGUAUACUUGCUACCCGGGCUAUGGCAACGAGUGAAAAUGGAGCCUCUGUUUCUUAUCCGAUACCUAUGUCAACUAAUACAGAUUCCACUGGGGAUGCAACUAGAGCAGAACUGGCCUCUCCUUCUGACUUAACUGCUGACCUUGUCUCUCUCUCCUCUGGCUCUCAGCUCAUCUCACUAAGGCUAAUCUAACUCUGUAAAC